UACGUAGGGUGCAAGCGUUAAUCGGAAUUACUGGGCGUAAAGCGUGCGCAGGCGGUUGUGCAAGACAGAUGUGAAAUCCCCGGGCUCAACCUGGGAAUUGCAUUUGUGACUGCACGGCUAGAGUGUGUCAGAGGGGGGUAGAAUUCCACGUGUAGCAGUGAAAUGCGUAGAGAUGUGGAGGAAUACCGAUGGCGAAAGCAGCCCCCUGGGAUAACACUGACGCUCAUGCACGAAAGCGUGGGGAGCAAACAGG
rnacentral:rRNA from 1 species